CAGUAGCCGCGGGAAUACGUAGGUCCCGAGCGUUGUCCGGAUUUAUUGGGCGUAAAGCGAGCGCAGGCGGUUAGAUAAGUCUGAAGUUAAAGGCUGUGGCUUAACCAUAGUACGCUUUGGAAACUGUUUAACUUGAGUGCAAGAGGGGAGAGUGGAAUUCCAUGUGUAGCGGUGAAAUGCGUAGAUAUAUGGAGGAACACCGGUGGCGAAAGCGGCUCUCUGGCUUGUAACUGACGCUGAGGCUCGAAAGCGUGGGGCGCAAACAGGAUUAGAUACCCGGGUAGUCCCUGUCUCUUAUACA
rnacentral:rRNA from 1 species